rnacentral:rRNA from 1 species
GACGAACGCUGGCGGCGUGCUUAACACAUGCAAGUCGAACGCUGAAGCUCAGCUUUUGUUGGGUGGAUGAGUGGCGAACGGGUGAGUAACACGUGAGUAACCUGCCUCCUUCUUUGGGAUAACGCCCGGAAACGGGUGCUAAUACUGGAUAUUCACUGGUCUUCGCAUGGGGGUUGGUGGAAAGGGUUUUUCUGGUGGGGGAUGGGCUCGCGGCCUAUCAGCUUGUUGGUGGGGUGAUGGCCUACCAAGGCUUUGACGGGUAGCCGGCCUGAGAGGGUGACCGGUCACAUUGGGACUGAGAUACGGCCCAGACUCCUACGGGAGGCAGCAGUGGGGAAUAUUGCACAAUGGGCGCAAGCCUGAUGCAGCGACGCCGCGUGAGGGAUGGAGGCCUUCGGGUUGUGAACCUCUUUCGCUCAUGGUCAAGCCGCAACAAUGGUUGUAGUGAGGGUAGUGGGUAAAGAAGCGCCGGCUAACUACGUG